AGGGGCGUAGCUCAACCUGGUAGAGCGCUGGUCUCCAAAACCAGUGGUUGUCGGUUCAAAUCCGGCCGCCCCUGCCA
rnacentral:tRNA from 2 species